rnacentral:rRNA from 1 species
GAACUGUAGAGUUUGAUCCUGGCUCAGAUUGAACGCUGGCGGAAUGCUUUACACAUGCAAGUCGAGCGGCAGCGCGGGGCAACCUGGCGGCGAGCGGCGAACGGGUGAGUAAUACAUCGGAACGUGCCCAGACGUGGGGGAUAACUACUCGAAAGAGUAGCUAAUACCGCAUACGAUCUAAGGAUGAAAGCGGGGGAUCGCAAGACCUCGCGCGUUUGGAGCGGCCGAUGGCAGAUUAGGUAGUUGGUGGGGUAAAGGCUUACCAAGCCUGCGAUCUGUAGCUGGUCUGAGAGGACGACCAGCCACACUGGGACUGAGACACGGCCCAGACUCCUACGGGAGGCAGCAGUGGG